rnacentral:lncRNA from 1 species
UUUUUUAAAGACAGCAUAGUGGCUUGAUAAGCCACUGGAAAAAUGGGAGCACGAAUACAACACCAACUGAGUUAAUUCUGUCAUGCCCAUCCUCCUGCUUCUGCAGCAAGGUGAACAACGGCAAAUGGCUAAGUCUGAAAUGUCAGGCGGAGGUGUUCUGUACCAGCACGCGUGACCUCGAAUGGUGGGUGUGGUCUGAAGAGGGUCGAGAUGGUGGGGUGCGGUGGGUGGCAGACGACUCACCUGCCCCUGGUCCCUCUCCUGCCCUCAUGCAGACUCGCUCUCGUCAUAGAGGCGCUUUCUGCAAACGUGGCGAGGGGAGCACAGGGCACAGCACAGUUUCGAAGAUGCUGAACUUCCAAGCUGCUCGCCACUGGUGGAGAACCUGAGGCCAGGGCCCUGUCUCCCAGCACCACCCGCAGCGGACCACACCACGCGGAAGCCUGAUUUAUCCCGGCAGCCCCACUUCCGGGUGCGCUGGGCCUUUUCCAGGCUCUCCUGCCGGCGGCCCGGGGAGGGUUUCAGUCUGCGUGCCCGGAACUGGAGCUGGGUGUGAAUCGUGAGGCGCCUGACACCUAGAAGGCACUGGGCUGAGGAGAGGAGGAGGAAAGAAAGUGGAGGCCAGGCGGCCGGGACGGGACGCGGUCUCUCCUGGGACCUCUGCCGCCCAGGCGCCUCGGGCCACAGGGCAACCUCGCUGCUUUCCCCGUGCUGUUGCAGGACGAUCGCGUGCACAAGGAGGCGCCCUCGGCCGCCCGGGAACCCCAGGGCAGCCCGGGCCGCGGCGCCUCCGCAGUCUCCGUGUGCACUGGGGCUGCGGCCAGCAAGCGGCGGCGAACGUCCCGUGAGAACGGAAGAUGCUCGGUCGGGUUGGACCCGGCCUGGGCGCGAUGCCCCGGUUCCCUUCUGCCGCCACCGCCCCCCAACCCCGCCGCCGCCUGCGCGGCCUCGCCCGCCUCGCGGUCGCCAUGGCAACCUCCGCGUGCCGAGCUUUCUCCCGGUGUGAUCAGGCCCGGAACCGUCUGGAACCCGCAGUGCUGACCGUUUCCUGCCGGAAGGAAACGCUGCUGGCCGUCGGAUCUGGGUUCCCCGCCACCCUGCUGACUCCUUCGGCCUCGGGGGCUGUGGGGCUGCAAGCUCUCAGCCGGCCCGGCCCACGUCCUGCUAGCUGCGUCCUGGCUUCCCGCAGUCUCCAAACUGAAAAUGUCCAACAUCUUUCUUCUGGCUUUCAGAAGCAUAGCACACCAUUGUCCUCCAUGGUCGCCCUGCUGUCCUUGCUACACCAGGCAACCGGGAGAAUGGCCAGAAAGUGAAGUCUUUGCACCCUGAGGCUAAUAUCACAUUGCUCUGCGGAGAUGGAUUCAGCCCAGAUUUUCCCCACUAACACGUAAGAAGGGGCAUUUUAAAAAAUGGUAUGCUAUAUUUUUACCUUCACCAGAAACCCUAAAUCAACAUUUUAUCUUGAGGAUUUUUGUGUAUGUAUAUAUUCUGAAGUCAGAGACAAUUAGU